GAUGAAGAACGCAGUGAAAUGCGAUACGUAAUGUGAAUUGCAGAAUUCAGUGAAUCAUCGAGUCUUUGAACGCACAUUGCGCCCCCUGGUAUUCCGGGGGGCAUGCCCGUCCGAGCGUCAUUGCUGCCCUCAAGCACGGCUUGUGUGUUGGGCCUCCGUCCUCCUCCCGGGGGACGGGCCCGAAAGGCAGCGGCGGCACCGCGUCCGGUCCUCGAGCGUAUGGGGCUUCGUCACCCGCUCUUGUAGGCCCGGCCGGCGCUUGCCGACACAUCAAUCUUUUUUCCAGGUUGACCUCGGAUCAGGUAGGGAUACCCGCUGAACUUAAGCAUAUCAAUAAGCGGAGGA
rnacentral:misc_RNA from 1 species